AAUCAACGCUGGCGGCGUGCCUCAGACAUGCAAGUCGAACGAGAACCUCCCUUCGGGGAGGAGACAGUGGCGCACGGGUGAGUAACACGUGGGUAAUUUACCUUUGGGUGGGGAACAACAGCCGGAAACGGCUGCUAAUACCGCAUAAUGCAGCGGCUCGACAUCGAGACAGUUGUUAAAGCGGGGGAGUCGCAAGACCUCGCGCCUGAAGAGAAGCCUGCGGCGGAUUAGCUAGUUGGUAGGGUAAUGGCCUACCAAGGCGACGAUCUGUAACCGGCCUGAGAGGGCGGUCGGUCACACUGACACUGACAUACGGGUC
rnacentral:rRNA from 1 species